rnacentral:rRNA from 1 species
CCUACGGGAGGCAGCAGUGAGGAAUAUUGGUCAAUGGUCGGGAGACUGAACCAGCCAAGCCGCGUGAGGGAGGAAGGUACAGAGUAUCGUAAACCUCUUUUGUCAGGGAACAAAGGCGGGGACGUGUCCCCGGCUGAGUGUACCUGACGAAAAAGCAUCGGCUAACUCCGUGCCAGCAGCCGCGGUAAUACGGAGGGUGCGAGCGUUAUCCGGAUUUAUUGGGUUUAAGGGGUGCGCAGGCGGUCUGUUAAGUCAGCGGUCAAAGCCCGGGGCUCAACCCCGGCCCGCCGUUGAAACUGGCAGUCUCGAGUUGGAGAGAAGUAUGCGGAAUGCGUGGUGUAGCGGUGAAAUGCAUAGAUAUCACGCAGAACUCCGAUUGCGAAGGCAGCAUACCGGCGCGCAACUGACGCUCAUGCACGAAAGCGUGGGUAUCGAACAGGAUUAGAUACCCCGGUAGUC